rnacentral:rRNA from 1 species
CACGUAAUUUGCCGGUGCUUAUUCAAGCCCUACAGUCACCACACAAUCAUUCCCUACUGUGCUUAUUCCUCAGGCUUAAAAGGAUUUUACAACCUUUCGGCAUUCUUCAUCCACGCGGCGUCGCUCCGUCAGACUUUCGUCCAUUGCGGAAUAUUCUUAACUGCUGCCUCCCGUAGAAGUCUGGGCCGUAUCUCAGUCCCAAUGUGUCCGUCCACCCUCUCAGGCCGGAUACCCAUCAUCGCCUUGGUGGGCCGUUACCUCACCAACGAGCAUAAUGGGCCGCGGGCCAUUCUUUUAGCGAAGCCUUAGCUCCUUUCCUCGUAUCCCUCUAACAGAUACGGUCACAUUCGGUAUUACCUACUAUUUCUAAUAGCUAUCCCCAUCUAAAAGGUAUGUCACCCACGUGUUACUCACCAGUCCGCCACUCUCAGAAAGGAGCAAGCUCCUUCUACCGUUCGACUUGCAUGUUUAAGACGCGCCGCCAGCGUCGUUCUGUAGUCCAGGAUCGAAACUA